rnacentral:lncRNA from 1 species
CAAGAUUUUAGCAAGAGUCUGACAUGGAAUACUAGAGAGACUUUAAGGAAGCAAUUUUAGGGAGGUGACUGAGAGAAUUAAGGGAAAUAUGGGCAGUUAGUUUAGACCCAAGGAGCCCUGUGUGUGUGGUAGGGGGUGUGAAAUCUGUCAGAUCAAACCAGUCAAAAGCAUAAAGUCAAGAGUUGUAAUUAGAAUCUGUACCUACUUUUAGAGUCUAGACCUCACCCUUGUGACCUCCCACUUGGAAUGCAAAUGAAAAGGCAAGCAAAUCUGAGGUAUUUCCUGCUAAGCAGUGAUUGUCUAUGAGCAUGAGGUCUAAGAGGGGUGCAUCUGUCGGGGAGACUCCACUGCCAUUGCAGGCCUGACAGGCCUCACUGAAUAAAGCACUCAGAGGAGCCGAUAUCAAGACCUGCAUCCUGCCAGCCUAACUGUUAGGGUGGCUUCCACAAACAGAAAGGCCCAUCAACGGAGAACAGCAACCGUACUGGCUAAAGCUGCUUCAAUCACGCUUCAGAAUCAUUCACAGAGGACUAACUAGUUUAAUACGUUUUUAUAUUUGUAACGGGAUAAUCAACUGCCAGAUACAAAAUGGAAGAGACAUGAUGCGGCAAUUCACAUGAUGCUAUUAAUAUAAGAAUAGACUGACAGAGACUGAAAAGCCCGAAGCCGAUGGAUGCAUAGAUAAGCAUCUUAUAGAGGGUAGAAAUGACAUUCCAGACAAGCAAGGCAAGUAUGGGUUGGUUAUAUUUGGUCUGAAGAACACCCCUUGGUGGGCUGUUAUAUCUGAGUCUGCUCUAACAAAUUCCCCUCAACUCAGUG